rnacentral:rRNA from 1 species
GCCCUACGGGGCGCAGCAGGCGCGAAAACUUUACAAUGCCGGCAACGGCGAUAAGGGGACCUCGAGUGCCAGGUUACAAAUCUGGCUGUCGUGAUGCCUAAAAAGCAUUGCAUAGCAAGGGCCGGGCAAGACCGGUGCCAGCCGCCGCGGUAACACCGGCGGCUCGAGUGGUAACCGUUAUUAUUGGGUCUAAAGGGUCUGUAGCCGGCCGGAUAAGUCUCUUGAGAAAUCCAGCAGCUCAACUGUUGGGCUUUCAGGAGAUACUGUUCGGCUCGAGG